CCGCACUGGGAGCGGCGGCGGCACCGGGCGGGAUGAGCGAGCGCAGUCCCCGUGUCACCCCCUCGGCGGCGGAGGCCCCCGGUGGGCAGCAGCAAGCCAAGGCUGAUCGCAAGAAGGAGGAAGAGGAGGAGGACGAGGAAGAGGAGAUCGACAUCGACCUGAGCGCGCCCGAGACGGAGCGAGCGGCUCUCGCCAUCCAGGGCCGCUUCCGCCGCUCCCGCCAGCGCCGGGGGGAGCCGCGGCCCUGAGGGACCCCCGGGACCCCCCCGGGACCCCCCGGGACCCCCAAACCCCGUGGGGACCCUCCCGAGGGGGGCUCGGCCCUUCCCUGCCCGGUGACACCGGGGGAUUUGGGGGGGUGACACAGCCCGGUGUCCCCAAGGGGAGGUGGCCCUGGGGAGGGGGCGGCGUGGGACCCCCCCCCGUUUCCCUUGAGCACCCCCAUUUUCCAUGGGAACCCCCAUUUUCCAUGAGCACCCCCAUUUUCCAUGGGAACCCCAAAUUUUCCAUGGGAUCCCCAAUUUCCCACGGAAUUCCCCAUUUCCCCGUCCCGUGGUGGCGUUGGGGACAUGCCCGGUGUCCCCAAACCGGGGGGGGGGACGGGUCCCGCUGCAGCCUCCAGCCCAGGAAAUCGGGGGUCCCCACCUUGCUGUCACUGUCACCGCCCCCUGCCCACAUUUCUGUCACUGUCACCGCCCCCUCCCACAUUUCUGUCAUUGUCACUGUCACUGUCCCCACCCCGAGGGGCUUUUGGCCCGUGCAGGGAAUAAAGAGUGAGGAAGAG